CUAGAGUUUGAUCCUGGCUCAGAUUGAACGCUGGCGGCAGGCCUAACACAUGCAAGUCGAGCGGUAGCACAGAGAGCUUGCUCUCGGGUGACGAGCGGCGGACGGGUGAGUAAUGUCUGGGAAACUGCCUGAUGGAGGGGGAUAACUACUGGAAACGGUAGCUAAUACCGCAUAACGUCGCAAGACCAAAGUGGGGGACCUUCGGGCCUCAUGCCAUCAGAUGUGCCCAGAUGGGAUUAGCUAGUAGGUGGGGUAAUGGCUCACCUAGGCGACGAUCCCUAGCUGGUCUGAGAGGAUGACCAGCCACACUGGAACUGAGACACGGUCCAGACUCCUACGGGAGGCAGCAGUGGGGAAUAUUGCACAAUGGGCGCAAGCCUGAUGCAGCCAUGCCGCGUGUAUGAAGAAGGCCUUCGGGUUGUAAAGUACUUUCAGCGAGGAGGAAGGCGUUAAGGUUAAUAACCUUGGCGAUUGACGUUACUCGCAGAAGAAGCACCGGCUAACUCCGUGCCAGCAGCCGCGGUAAUACGGAGGGUGCAAGCGUUAACCGGAAUUACUGGGCGUAAAGCGCACGCAGGCGGUCUGUCAAGUCGGAUGUGAAAUCCCCGGGCUCAACCUGGGAACUGCAUUCGAAACUGGCAGGCUAGAGUCUUGUAGAGGGGGGUAGAAUUCCAGGUGUAGCGGUGAAAUGCGUAGAGAUCUGGAGGAAUACCGGUGGCGAAGGCGGCCCCCUGGACAAAGACUGACGCUCAGGUGCGAAAGCGUGGGGAGCAAACAGGAUUAGAUACCCUGGUAGUCCACGCCGUAAACGAUGUCGACUUGGAGGUUGUGCCCUUGAGGCGUGGCUUCCGGAGCUAACGCGUUAAGUCGACCGCCUGGGGAGUACGGCCGCAAGGUUAAAACUCAAAUGAAUUGACGGGGGCCCGCACAAGCGGUGGAGCAUGUGGUUUAAUUCGAUGCAACGCGAAGAACCUUACCUACUCUUGACAUCCAGAGAACUUAGCAGAGAUGCUUUGGUGCCUUCGGGAACUCUGAGACAGGUGCUGCAUGGCUGUCGUCAGCUCGUGUUGUGAAAUGUUGGGUUAAGUCCCGCAACGAGCGCAACCCUUAUCCUUUGUUGCCAGCGGUCCGGCCGGGAACUCAAAGGAGACUGCCAGUGAUAAACUGGAGGAAGGUGGGGAUGACGUCAAGUCAUCAUGGCCCUUACGAGUAGGGCUACACACGUGCUACAAUGGCAUAUACAAAGAGAAGCGACCUCGCGAGAGCAAGCGGACCUCAUAAAGUAUGUCGUAGUCCGGAUUGGAGUCUGCAACUCGACUCCAUGAAGUCGGAAUCGCUAGUAAUCGUAGAUCAGAAUGCUACGGUGAAUACGUUCCCGGGCCUUGUACACACCGCCCGUCACACCAUGGGAGUGGGUUGCAAAAGAAGUAGGUAGCUUAACCUUCGGGAGGGCGCUUACCACUUUGUGAUUCAUGACUGGGGUGAAGUCGUAACAAGGUAACCA
rnacentral:rRNA from 1 species